AUUGAACGCUGGCGGCAUGCCUUACACAUGCAAGUCGAACGGUAGGGGGAGCAAUCCCCUGAGAGUGGCGAACGGGUGAGUAAAGCAUCGGAACGUGCCCAGUUGUGGGGGAUAACCACUCGAAAGAGUGGCUAAUACCGCAUGCGACCUGAGGGUGAAAGCGGGGGACCGAAAGGCCUCGCGCAGUUGGAGCGGCCGAUGUCAGAUUAGCUAGUUGGGGGGGUAAAGGCCCACCAAGGCGACGAUCUGUAGCUGGUCUGAGAGGACGACCAGCCACACUGGGACAGAGACACGGCCCAGACUCCUACGGGAGGCAGCAGUGGGGAAUUUUGGACAAUGGGCGCAAGCCUGAUCCAGCCAUGCCGCGUGCAGGAAGAAGGCCUUCGGGUUGUAAACUGCUUUUGUCAGGGAAGAAAUCCCUUGGGUUAAUACCUCGGGGGGAUGACGGUACCUGAAGAAUAAGCACCGGCUAACUACGUGCCAGCCGCCGCAGUAAGAC
rnacentral:rRNA from 1 species